GAAUGGUGGCUCCAGGGACUGAGGGA
rnacentral:piRNA from 1 species